GUUAAAAUGAAAGGAGCCAGUUUGUUGUUGCUGCAACAAAGCUGGUUUAUAGCAGUCUGGGAUUAGUUACUAUCGUAGCAAAUACUUUCAGCAUUUUGAUGGGACUGAACAACAGACAUCCUUCGAAGCUUCUACAUUUUUUAGGCUCUCAGUUUUUUGUGUCUUUUUUGUUUUUUUUUGUGUGUGUUGUAAUUAGGUGACAGCAGUUCUUCACUUUGACCUUGAGCUAAAAGUCAUAGGUUAAAUAUAUAAUUGUAUAAAAUCAUUACUCUAGGGUAAUAGCAGUUAAGAGAGAUAGCAAGAUUUUAUAAAUGGACUUUGACCAGGCAACUUACGUCCUAUCUUUCUGAGAUGAGCUGACAUGCUGCCACACUCCAAGUUUUUACAGAAGCCAAGGAUGAGGACCUCUAUCUUUUGCUGGCUUUUUCUUUGCAUCCUGUUAUAUUCAGGGUCAUUGAGUAGGACCGUGACUUCCAAUAGUGACACCGAGGAUCAAACUGAUACAGGCAGCAGGCACACAGAGAAUGCUUUGGCCUGUUCCCCAUGUUCUUGGGUCUAUUGUAUCAUUAUUGGCACAGUUAGUGGCUUAGCGUUUGGCUUUGUGUGGGUUGGAGGUGCUUUUAUCUUCUGGAAAUGCAAGAAAUCAACAAUUAUGGAAUGCAUUUUCUCAGCAAAAAAGAAUGAUGGUCAACUAAAGAUGGCCCUGCUGCAGAGACAAGCUGAGAAGACACAUGAAGAACUGGACGUUUUAUCAACGCUGAACACUGUAAUGAAGGAACUGAAGAGGGGAUUUCACCAGCAAAAGGAAGAAUUCAAACAGUUAGAGGAGAUAAACAAAGAGCUGGCAGAAAACAAGGAGAAACUUUGUCUGGUAGAAAAUGAAAUAGCAAAGAGUGAGAAAGAAAAAGAGACGGACAAAACAGAAAGACACUUGCAGGAAAAACAAAGUCUAUUAAGUGUUCAGCGUAAACUGGAGAAGAGAAAGGAAGAACUGGAGAAUCUACAACUGAACAUGGAGAAACAGCUGCAACAAACAGAGGAUAUAAUGAGCACGAUGACAGAAAGGAAAACAAAAGUAGAACGUGCUUUGGAGGCGAUUAACUUGCAGCUGGAGGACGCAGAAAGUCAAAGUGAAACGGCUCAUCUUCACACACAGUAGUGACAAUAACCUACUGCUACUUCACUGUUUAUUAAUUGUCCCUUGCAACUAAACUUAGGUUCAUAAUUUGGAUAGAAAAUUUUAUUUUAUAGAAUAGAAUUUUUUUUCUUUUAAACUGUGUACACCACGAUAGCAGAUUUUACCCAAGCAACCAAUAUGUAAUUAAAGAGGAGAUUUGCAUCAUUAAUUCAAAACAUUUAACAAAGAAUCUUGUAUUAACAUUAACUUAUAUUCAGUGGUUAUAUACAGCUUACACGGUGCCCCAUUUUCAGGGGCUCAAAAGUCACUGGACAAAGUAACACAGCUUUAAACAUAAGGAUUGCUUCUAACAGCUGGAAGACUUUCUGUUGUUAAUGGCUGUUUGAAAUCCAGAAGCCAUGGACAUCAGCAAGCUGUGUUUUUCUACUUUGAGAAGCUUUGCAGGGCCUUUGUUGCAGCUGCUUUCAGUUGCUGCUUGUCGGUGCGUCUCUCUGCCUUCAGUUUUCAUCUUCAUUAACUGAAAAAUCAGCUUCUAUUUGUUUUUAAAUCAGGUGACUGUAAUUUGACCUAAUUUUUUGACUUGAGAAAUUGUUAGGCCUUCGUCUUCUUGAGUGUAACUAGUGGCUUAUACCUUGUUGUAAACCUCCUGUAUUUUGAUUUUAACAAUGAAACACUUAUCUGAAUGGUUGGAUGGAUGACUACGUUUGUGUAAAUAAAAAAUGCAUUCAUUUAAAAAGAAACAUAAAAAUAAACAUGGGUAGAUUUAGGCACCAAAAAAAGUGGUUUAAGUUUAAAUAUGCCACUGAGAGUAACAAUACAUGUUCAACAUCAUGCUCACCAUAGGUAGUUUAUAUGGGUUAAUAAAAUAACCCAUAUAAUAAGGUUAAUAAAACUGAAAUUCAACAACAUAAAUAUUAUUUAGAGUUAUUUGUCAAGAGAUUGUUUGUAGGAUAAUUUUGAUAAUUUUGCUGCUAUAAGUAAAAAGGAGAUUUGGUAAUUCAAUGAAUUAUUAUACAUUUUGUGUUUUGAUUACCUUUUAAGGAUAGUCUGUUAGUCAUUGAAAAAAUGUGAUUUUUUUAAAAUGAAAAAUCUGUUCUUAAUUCUUUAUCUGCGUGUUAUUAUAGAGUUUAAGAGAAACUGAAUAAAUAGACUUGGAUAAAUAUGUGAAGAAUAAAUGUCUUUCUUAUUUACUUUGAAAUUGUGUGAUUACCGGUAAUGUCCUCC
ensembl:lncRNA